AUGCUCGAAGAAUUCUGCCAAAACUUUGAAGAAGAAACUGGACGGAUCGAGACAGGCUUGGACCCCAUCCUUUCUCCUGUCGAUAAUGAGGCUACCAUGAACGUGCUCCGACUGGAAUCCCGUGUUGCCAGCGUUACGAGCUAUCUUGCUUGCCUGAAGGUGGCGGUGUCGCGCAUCGAUAUGACACUUUGGCCAAGGGAAACGCUUCAAAAUGACCUCGAGUCCUUGAUGAAUCGACUCAAUGAGGUCCCUGGUCGAGUGCAAGAAUGGAAGAAGUCUUCUGCCCGAUGCGGUGCUGAGGUGGCUCUGUCGCUGGUUCGGGUCCACUGCAAAGAAGCUUGA
rnacentral:rRNA from 1 species